AAAUUUCAGAAUCGUGAACCUCUGAUGCCAUCUCCACAGUUUAUCAAAUCUUACUUCAGUUCUUUCACGGAUGAUAUCAUUUCCCAGCCCAUGCUUAAAGGAGAGAAAUCUGAUGAAGAUAAAGACAAGGAAGGGGAGGCUUUAGAAGUGAAAGAAAAUUCUGGAUACUUAAAGGCCAAACAGUAUAUGGAAGAAGAAAACUACGAUAAAAUCAUAAGUGAAUGCUCAAAAGAAAUAGAUGCUGAAGGCAAAUACAUGGCAGAAGCAUUGCUACUACGAGCUACCUUCUACCUGCUUAUUGGCAAUGCCAAUGCAGCCAAACCAGAUUUAGAUAAAGUCAUCAGUUUGAAAGAAGCUAAUGUGAAGGUACAUUAAAAAAUGUGUGUGAAGAAAUUAUUAAAUAGAAGGCGAUGCCUUUCAUUAUGUUUUGCCAGAUUUUUUAAAGCAUUUCAACUGCCAUUCUUCAAAGGGCUGUUUUUGUUUUUGAAGAAACUACUCUUAAUAAUAAUGUAGUUGGUGCAGUGAAUCUGAAAACAUAAAUAUCAAUGAUAUUUAUCUUUAUUUAGGAAAGGAAAUUUUUUUUUCCUAUAGCAUCUGGUAGUUUCAUCGUCUCCCUGUAGCCACUGCCUACCAUAUUGGACUGUAUUUGGUCAGU
rnacentral:sRNA from 1 species